UAAAUAUGUAAAUUACUUUUCUAUGAUGGUGCCUUAUGUACUGAUUGUAAAAUUCUUAAAUUAUAUUCAUCAAUCAUUUAUGUGGUGUCUUUGUCAUAUUUGUUUGUAAACAAAUGAUGUGUGUAAACAGAAUGGCUUACAAAUUAAUGGGCAAAAAUAUAUCAGCAUUGUUUAGGCUUAGUUGAAAUGUCCAACUAAUCUAUAGAAUUAUCCUUGUCAAAGGAAAACAAAAUCUUGUUUGUAUAGAUACUAUUUUUGUAGCUUUUAAACAGAAACAUUAGAGUUAAAAUGAAGACCUAUUUAAAAAUUCCUUAUGAACUUCUCAAAAAUAUUGCCCAUCAAGAAUGAACUUUUUUAUCAGUUUAAUGAUAACCUUAAGAGACAUAUCUGUAUAGAGUUAAGUAGUUCAAACAAAUAAGCUUCUAUAUAACUUAGAUUCAAGCUUCAUUGCAACAUAGAUCAAAGCUUUGCCAUACAUAGAUCCCAGCUUCCUCUGUAAACGUAACAUUUUAUAACAUAUGAAAUUAUCAUGGGUUGUUUUUAUUAACUUUGUAUAUAAUAUUAUCUUAUGAAAUAUUUGUUUGUAUGUUUUUAAUUUAAAGUAAGGGACUGGCUCAAUUUAAAAUAAGGGACUGUCUCAAACUAAAAUAAGGGACUGUUUCAAACUAAGGAGAGAAAGACAUUCUUUGAUAUGUUUCAUGCAAUUGUAUGCAGGACAAUAUGAAAGAAUAGUUUUCCUUACCAUGUUCAAUGUUUUAGUGUACAAGACCCAAUAGAAAUAGUUUCAUAUCAAAAUACAGAAAUAUUAUCAGAAUUUUUUUUUCAAGAAAAAAAUAUUCUUUGAUGUCAGUUUAAUAUUAGAAUUAAGAUUUUUUCAUACAAAACAUUUUGUGACUUAAAGUUCGUUUGAAAUAU
rnacentral:lncRNA from 1 species